UACGGGAGGCGACAGUAGGGAAUUUUGCGCAAUGGACGAAAGUCUGACGCAGCAACGCCAUGUGUGGGAUGAAGCAUUUCGGUGUGUAAACCACUGUCGGCAGGGAAUAAAGUCCGCGCGUGCGCGGAGGUGAAUGUACCUGCGAAGGAAGCCCCGGCUAACUUCGUGCCAGCAGCCGCGGUAAUA
rnacentral:rRNA from 1 species